AACGCACAUUGCGCCCCCUGGCAUUCCGGGGGGCAUGCCUGUUCGAGCGUCAUUACACCAAUCACGCCUGGCGUGGUAUUGGGCGACGGGGUCAACCCCCGCGCCUCAAAUAUUCCGGCGAGACCGACCGAAUCUCAGCGUUGUGCAAACGAGUCGCUGGCGAGACGAGAGGGCUGUGCCGUUAAACACCCCCAUCACAGGUUGACCUCGGAUCAGGUAGGGAUACCCGCUGAACUUAA
rnacentral:misc_RNA from 1 species